rnacentral:rRNA from 1 species
UCCGUAGGCGGGCGUCUAAGUCAGUGGUGAAAUCUUUCGGCUCAACCGAGAAACUGCCAUUGAUACUGUUAGUCUUGAGUUCGGUUGAGGUAGGCGGAAUGUGUAAUGUAGCGGUGAAAUGCUUAGAUAUUACACAGAACACCAAUUGCGUAGGCAGCUUACUAGACCGACACUGACGCUGAGGCACGAAAGCGUGGGGAGCGAACAGGAUUAGAUACCCUGGUAGUCC